rnacentral:lncRNA from 1 species
CACGGGGCCAAAGGGCCCCGGAAAAAAAAAUGAACUAUAAGAUGCUUUAUGGUACAUUCUGAGGCAUUUCUGAAUGCGUAAACUGAACAUUUAUUUGAAAAUUCUGGGCUUUUCCCUGUUUUUUCGGAAGGAAAAGGGGGCAUGCACCCCAACGCUCCCCAUGGGUCCGGCCCUGGCAAGGCUAGCUAGCUCGACGCGAUCCGGCAGGGCUAGCUCUAGCUCUCUGCAGUACGCCCAGGACUGGCGUCGACCGCCGGCGCCGCCGCUAGACCCGCCAGAGUGCCUAGCUAGAUACCGUACCUGCAGCUAGCAUCAGCUACAGUUUCAGUUGUUCGGCGCAGCUUUUUAGCCUUGCCUAUGCUGCUGGUGGUUCCUUGUCUUCACUCCAAAAAUAUCUACAAUGUAUACCAAAACCUAACAUGCUUGAAGAUGUAGAAGAUCCUCGCUAUCCAUCAACCUUCGCAGCUUCUUUUGCCUCACAAUUACCUCUGUCACAAGUCCUAUCAAACACCGUGCCCGAUUCUGGUGCAGAUGACAGCACUGGGGACACUUCGCCUCAAUUGAAGCUGUUAUUCAACCCUUAGACACAACCACUUGCCUCCUAAUUACCUGCUAUGAAAGAAAUUACAUAUUGUGAAACCAAACAUGCUUGAAGAUGUAGGAGAUCCUCGCUAUCCAUCCACCUUCGCAGCUUCUUUUGCCUCACAAUUACCUCUGUCACAAGUCCUAUUAAACACCGUGCCUGAUUCUGGUGCAGAUGACAGCACUGGGGACACUUCGCCUCAAUUGAAGCUGUUAUACAACCCUUAGACACAACCACUUGCCUGCUAAUUACCUGCUAUGAAAGAAAUUACAUAUUGUGAGCUACUAGCAAAGGAACAACUUCAACACUGCAUCAAAUGGCUCGACCAAAGUUAUCAGUGGAGCAAUAUUCACCUGGUUUCCCCAAAACAAAACACCACAUCCCAAAGAAUGGUGAACUCCAGUUGAAAAGACAUGCGAUUCUGAAAUAACCAUGGUCAUUUCAGACAUCUUGCGGGAGAAUUAAAAGGGGCAAGAACAGUCAGUGAUUUAGAUACAUUUUACCAUCAGGAGCAUUCACUGCAUUGCACAGUAUGUAACUGAAUAGUUGGAGAGAAACUGGACUCUGUGUAACUAUACUAGACAUGACAAGUACAGAAGUACUAGCUAGUAAUGGACAAGGAAUUUUACUCACGUGAGCAGUUCAAAACCGAAUCCAAGUAAGUUUUCCUCAAGUGUAUCCAACCAGCCCUUUAAAUGCUGCACCUAGACCACAAGGCCAUCCAAAACUGCACCACUCCGACAAUUCUGGGAGUUAUAUUACAGUCAGAUCUCAAAUGGAAUUUCCAAGUGUUUGAUAUGAUAUCAAGUGCCGGCAAGCGACUAUACAUUUACGACAUCUCAGAGUAUCAUGUGAAGAUCUAGCAGACAUCUUCUCGACAUAUAUCCGAUCUUCGCUAGAAUACGCUUCUCCAGUUUGGUCCACAUCAAUUUCCCGAACAGUUAUCUUGCAGUCUGAAGAAAGUGCAGAAACGUGUCUGCUGUAUUAUCCUUGGAUAAGAACAGUUGUAUGAAACCACUCGUUUCUCUCCAGAGUCUAACUUCUUGCCGUCUUGCCCUUCUUGAAUCCUUUUCUCUCAAACUGUUUAAGUCAUCACGAGAUCGAAUUAUGUUCUACCGCCAACUCGUCGCCAAACCUCUUGCCAUGAACUCUGAAACUCUCUACACAUAACUAUACCCUAUUGUAGAACUGAGAGACACCGCACUUCAAUUAUUCCCUUUAUCGUACGACUCCUUAACAACUAACUGUGAUUUUAAUUAUCUUUGUCAUGUUUGUAUUUAUUUAUUUUUGCUUACCAUAUUAUUGUUUUUCAUUCUUCUCUUUUCCAUUCUUCAUUCUUUUAUCCUCCCCUCUCAUGUACUUUUUCUCCUUCUCUCUAAAUCAGGAAUUAAAGUACUCACAUGCAUUAUGA